CGGCCGCGUCGACCCGAAAGGGAAAAUAUUUAUAGCCUGAAGAUGAGCUCGCGUCCGAUUAGCUAGUUGGCGGAGUAAAAGCCCACCAAGCUUACGAUCUGUAGCUGGUCUGAGAGGACGACCAGCCACACUGGGACUGAGACACGGCCCAGACUCCUACGGGAGGCAGCAGUGGGGAAUUUUGGACAAUGGGCGAAAGCCUGAUCCAGCCAUGCCGCGUGCAGGAUGAAGGCCUUCGGGUUGUAAACUGCUUUUGUACGGAACGAAAAGACUCUGGUUAAUACCUGGGGUCCAUGACGGUACCGUAAGAAUAAGCACCGGC
rnacentral:rRNA from 1 species